UGCAAGCGUCAGUAGUUCUGUUAUUGGUGUAACUUUACCCUUCAAAGUGCCUCUAAUAUUACACCCUAGUUGCACGGUAUUCGUAGAACUUCUAGAUUGUCCGCGUUGAUGCAGCACUCUCUCCCUAUUACGCUACCGUAUACCUUCAUCAUAGCACUUAUUGCCGUGUAUUUCAUUUGCUGUUUCGCUUAUCCCUAAAUAAUAGCUAUAGUCCAGUUAACAUUCAUAAAUACGUUUGUGUCAACGAACAUGGUGUUCCGGGUCGAUUGAAGUGGUGGAUGCAACAGUUGAAAAAAAAAAUUGCGAAAAGUGAUUCGGAAAAUCCGAAAUUUUCUACUCCUCACGCUAAUCAGGUGCAACCCCUCGGAUUAUACUGUAUACAUCACCUGCUUCGCCCAUUUGUCAUUCAAACGUCAACAUUAGGCUCGGGUGUGUGGAAUGGACAAGUUUGCGCGUUACAACGUAGCCGACGAGCGAUUCAGUGUGUCCCUGCGGUUUAUUCGGAUUUGAAUCUUCGACGUCUGUCUGCGCUAUAAUUAUAUAUUUAUUCUUGACAGAUGUCAAAGUUGCCCAGUUCUUCGUAUUAUGGUUCAACUUUCAACUACUGUCCCUACGUUGUGCUGAAAAAUUCCUAUAAGGUACCUGGGGAUGCUGCCACCGGAGUUAUCAUCGCCCAG
rnacentral:lncRNA from 1 species